rnacentral:rRNA from 1 species
UACGGAGGGUGCAAGCGUUAUCCGGAUUCACUGGGUUUAAAGGGCGUGUAGGCGGUCAGGUAAGUGAGAUGUGAAAUGCCCCGGCUCACCCGGGGACCGGCAUCUCAUACUGCUUGGCUUGAGUACGGGAGAGGAUGUGGGAAUUCCUGGUGUAGCGGUGAAAUGCGUAGAUAUCAGGAGGAACACCGGUGGCGAAGGCGCACAUCUGGCCCAAUACUGACGCUGAGGAGCGAAAGCCAGGGGAGCAAACGGG